AACGAACGCUGGCGGCAGGCUUAACACAUGCAAGUCGAACGGUUGUAGCAAUACAGCAGUGGCAGACGGGUGAGUAACACGUGGGAACCUUCCUAGGGGUACGGAACAACUCAGGGAAACUUGAGCUAAUACCGUAUACGUCCGUGAGGAGAAAGAUUUAUCGCCCUUAGACGGGCCCGCGUCGGAUUAGCUAGUUGGUGGGGUAACGGCCUACCAAGGCGACGAUCCGUAGUUGAUCUUAGAGGAUGAUCAGCCACACUGGGACUGAGACACGGCCCAGACUCCUACGGGAGGCAGCAGUGGGGAAUCUUGGACAAUGGGCGCAAGCCUGAUCCAGCCAUGCCGCGUGAGUGAAGAAGGUCUUCGGAUUGUAAAGCUCUUUUGCCAGGGACGAUAAUGACGGUACCUGGAGAAUAAGCCCCGGCAAUCUUCGUGCCAGCCGCCGCAGUAA
rnacentral:rRNA from 1 species